rnacentral:rRNA from 1 species
AACGAACGCUGGCGGCAGGCCUAACACAUGCAAGUCGAGCGCGCCCUUCGGGGUGAGCGGCGGACGGGUGAGUAACGCGUGGGAACGUGCCCUUCUCUGCGGAAUAGCCUCGGGAAACUGAGAGUAAUACCGCAUACGCCCUUUGGGGGAAAGAUUUAUCGGAGAAGGAUCGGCCCGCGUUGGAUUAGGUAGUUGGUGGGGUAAUGGCCCACCAAGCCGACGAUCCAUAGCUGGUUUGAGAGGAUGAUCAGCCACACUGGGACUGAGACACGGCCCAGACUCCUACGGGAGGCAGCAGUGGGGAAUCUUAGACAAUGGGGGCAACCCUGAUCUAGCCAUGCCGCGUGAGUGAUGAAGGCCUUAGGGUGGUAAAGCUCUUUCAGCUGGGAAGAUAAUGACGGUACCAGCAGAAGAAGCCCCGGCUAACUCCGUG